rnacentral:lncRNA from 1 species
CAGGUAUGUUUUCUGUUAAGACCUUUGUGUAUGUCUAAUGUCGCCUUUUCUUUUUUUCUAGCAGGGGGCGACGCAGAUUGAGGAUUUUCAGGUAUGUUUUCUGUUAAGACCUUUGUGUAUGUCUAAUUUCGCCUUUUCUUUUUUUCUAGCAGGGUGCGACGCAGAUUGAGGAUUCCCAGGUAUGUUUUCCGUUAAGACCUUUGUGUAUGUCUAAUUUCGCCUUUUCUUUUUUUCUAGCAGGGCGCGACGCAGAUUGAGGAUUCCCAGGUAUGUUUUCUGUUAAGACCUUUGUGUAUGUCUAAUGUCGCCUUUUCUUUUUUUUCUAGCAGGUCGCGACGCAGAUUGAGGAAUUCCAGGUAUGUUUUCUGUUAAGACCUUUGUGUAUGUCUAAUGUUGUCUUUUUCUUUUUUUUCUAGCAGGGCGCGACGCAGAUUGAGAGAUUCCAGGUAUGUUUUCUGUUAAGACCUUUGUGUAUGUCUAAUGUCGCCUUUUCUUUUUUUCUAGCAGGUCGCGACGCAGAUUGAGGAAUUCCAGGUAUGUUUUCUGUUAAGACCUUUGUGUAUGUCUAAUGUUGCUUUUCUUUUUUUCUAGCAGGUCUUGACGCAGAUUGGAAAUUCCUUUAGGUCGUGUGGCCUUUUUUUUUUUUUUAGCAGGGCGCGACGCAGAUUGAGGAUUUUCAGGUAUGUUUUCUGUUAAGGCCUUUGAGUAUGUCUAAUGUCACCUUUUCUUUUUUUUUCCAGCAGGGCGCGACGCAGAUUGAAGAUUCGCAGGUAUGUUUUCUGUUAAGGCCUUUGUGUAUGUCUAAUGUCGCCUUUUCUUUUUUUCUAGCAGGGCGCGACGCAGAUUGAGGAAUUCAGGUAUGUUUUCUGUUAAGACCUUUGUGUGUAUGUCUAAUGUCGCCUUUUCUUUUUUUCUAGCAGGGCGCGACGCAGAUUGAGGAAUUCAGGUAUGUUUUCUGUUAAGACCUUUGUGUAUGUCUAAUGUUGCCUUUUCUUUUUUUCUAGCAGGGCGCGACGCAGAUUGAGGAAUUCCAGGUAUGUUUUCUGUUAAGACCUUUGUGUAUGUCUAAUUUCGCCUUUUCUUUUUUUCUAGCAGGGCGUGACGCAGAUUGAGGAUUUUCAGGUAUGUUUUCUGUUAAGACCUUUGUGUAUGUCUAAUGUUGCCUUUUCUUUUUUUCUAGCAGGGCGCGACACAGAUUGAGGAUUUAGGUAUGUUUUCUGUUAAGACCUUUGUGUAUGUCUAAUGGUUCCUUUUUUUUUCCUUUAGGUCGUGUGGACUUUUUUUUUUGCAGGGCGCGACGCAGAUUGAGGAUUUUCAGGUAUGUUUUCUGUUAAGACCUUUGUGUAUGUCUAAUGU